rnacentral:rRNA from 1 species
UAGGGAAUCUUCCACAAUGGACGCAAGUCUGAUGGAGCAACGCCGCGUGAGUGAAGAAGGUUUUCGGACCGUAAAGCUCUGUUGUUGGUGAAGAAGGAUAGAGGUAGUAACUGGCCUUUAUUUGACGGUAAUCAACCAGAAAGUCACGGCUAACUACGUGCCAGCAGCCGCGGUAAUACGUAGGUGGCAAGCGUUGUCCGGAUUUAUUGGGCGUAAAGCGAGCGCAGGCGGAAGAAUAAGUCUGAUGUGAAAGCCCUCGGCUUAACCGAGGAAUUGCAUCGGAAACUGUUUUCUUGAGUGCAGAAGAGGAGAGUAGAACUCCAUGUGUAGCGGUGGAAUGCGUA